rnacentral:rRNA from 1 species
UACGAAGGGGGCUAGCGUUGCUCGGAAUCACUGGGCGUAAAGCGCACGUAGGCGGCUCUUUAAGUCAGGGGUGAAAUCCUGGAGCUCAACUCCAGAACUGCCCUUGAUACUGAGGAGCUUGAGUCCGGGAGAGGUGAGUGGAACUGCGAGUGUAGAGGUGAAAUUCGUAGAUAUUCGCAAGAACACCAGUGGCGAAGGCGGCUCACUGGCCCGGUACUGACGCUGAGGUGCGAAAGCUAGGGGAGCAAACGGG